GGUUACCUGGUAAUAUCUCCAGUUGAAUAAGUGGAAAGUUGGAUGAGUAGCCUCAACAUGUUUCCGAUAUAUUUGUUUGGGCUCAUCAUGGCUAUGUUUGAAGCAUCAACUGGGCAGAUUGUCGUCACACAGACACCAGCCUUUAUACAGGCAAAUCCUGGUGACAAAGUAAUCAUUCGGUGCCAAACUUCCUCCUCUAUGGGUGCUUAUAUGGCUUUAUAUCGGCUUGUGGACAAUCAAAAGGUUAAGCUACUUAUAUAUGAUGUUACCAACCGUUUUGAAGGAACCCCAGUUCGCUUCAGUGGCCAAGGAAGUGGCACUGAUUUCACAUUCACAAUCAAUGGUGUCCAGCCUGAGGACGAGGGGGAGUACUACUGUUGCCAGCGCCAAAGCUAUCCUCUACACAGUGAUACAUCUCAGUACAAAAACUAGCUGAGGAAGGCAAAGCAUCAGAAACAGCUUGGCUUUUCUGUGACACUAUGCCUUUCCUCUGCUCAUUCCCAAGGGGGUAUGUGUGUGGUGGCUUCUCUGCAUAUGACAUUAUAGUAAACCUGGCUUGUGGUAAAGGAGUGCUGAGAAAGGGGUGGAGAGUGGACUAAAAUGUUCAUGCA